GAUGAACGCUAGCGGCAGGCUUAACACAUGCAAGUCGAGGGGCAGCACGUCUUCGGAUGGUGGCGACCGGCGCACGGGUGCGUAACGCGUAUACAAUCUACCUUCUACAGGGGCAUAGCCCGGGGAAACCCGGAUUAAUAUCCCAUGGUAUGUAGAGAUGGCAUCAUCUCUUCAUUAAAGUUUCGGCGGUAAAAGAUGAGUAUGCGUCCUAUUAGCUAGAUGGUAAGGUAACGGCUUACCAUGGCUACGAUAGGUAGGGGUCCUGAGAGGGAGAUCCCCCACACUGGUACUGAGACACGGACCAGACUCCUACGGGAGGCAGCAGUGAGGAAUAUUGGACAAUGGGCGAGAGCCUGAUCCAGCCAUGCCGCGUGCAGGAAGACUGCCCUAUGGGUUGUAAACUGCUUUUAUACGGGAAGAAACACCCCUUGUGAGGGGGCUUGACGGUACCGUAUGAAUAAGGAUCGGCUAACUCCGUGCCAGCAGCCGCGGUAAUAC
rnacentral:rRNA from 1 species